UACGGGGGGGGCAAGCGUUGUUCGGAAUUACUGGGCGUAAAGCGUGCGCAGGCGGUUGUGCAAGACCGAUGUGAAAGCCCCGGGCUCAACCUGGGAACGGCAUUGGUGACUGCACGGCUAGAGUGUGUCAGAGGGGGGUAGAAUUCCACGUGUAGCAGUGAAAUGCGUAGAGAUGUGGAGGAAUACCGAUGGCGAAGGCAGCCCCCUGGGAUGACACUGACGCUCAUGCACGAAAGCGUGGGGAGCAAACAGG
rnacentral:rRNA from 1 species